CGGAGCUUCAGAAUUGACACCCCAGUUCCGGUGUACGAGUAUCGCCAUUUUGUUGACUAAUUUCUGCUGAUGUCAGCGUCUUUACUCGUAAUUUUUACCUGUUUCCUCGGGGUAAACUAUGGCCUAACGUAAACAGCAAACGGGGCGGAUUCAAAUGGACAACGGCAACGUCAAAGACGACGCGUAAAAACGAAGAGUAAAUGGCGGCCACAGAAUAGAUAUUAUACAGAAUACUGAGUAUAAUGUCUACUCUGUACGUCAUGGUGGGGGAUCCAUAUUUGGGGCCUUUUUGGGCGUAUCACGCCACUUAUUUGCCAUUCUCACGUCGUUUUUGACAGUCCUGUCCUCAAUCUAAAUCUAUUUGGUCAAACGCGACCAACAAAAAGCUAUCAAAACUUUUGUAGUUGUGCAUGGCGAUAACAAAUAAGAUUUUUAUUGUAUAAGUUUAUAUAUACUUAGUUGACCUUUCUGGCAGUUCAAAGGAUAUAUUUGUCAGAAAUGUCACAACUGAUAUAUCCUUAUCAGUAAUCUGUUCCGAAAUGUAAUAUCACACAAGACGUAAGUCUCAAUGAAAAUUGCAUAAUGAUACCAUUAUCUCAUUGGAACUGUAAACGAAGCAUCUCAGCAUCUCUGACAAGCUUAAAGUUUCCAUUCAUCACAAAUUGAGGAAGAAUGAAGUUUGCUUGUGCUGUCGUGCUAUUGUUGGUUGUCCAUACCACUUUUUCCUCGCCAAUUUUGCGGUAUAACAGAAAAUCCCAGGCCGUUGAAGAAGUUGAGAUGAAUUCUCCACGGAAGAGAAGAGAGUUCAAAGCAUCAAAUACUGGAUGUAAUAAUUGUCCUGUAGGAUAUUGUGACUGCAGCAGCGGAAAAUGCUUCUGCACAAAGAAACGGGGUUUCUCUAGUUUGAUGAAGCAAGAGAAGAGAUAUUUUAGCUAAAUGUUUCAUGUUUAUUUCAUUGAAACUUGUUGUUUCAAAAUCUUUAGUUGUCAUCAGGGUUCAGUAGUAGCUAUAUUAAUAAGGUUGUGAUUUAAAUUCUCGCCUUUUCGAUUUCAUUGUUUCACGAUAUCGACUGGGAUUAAAUACAAAUACAAUAUAGACUUGGCUGAAAAUACUAUUUUUGAAAGAAGAAGG